AUUGAACGCUGGCGGCAGGCCUAACACAUGCAAGUCGAGCGGAUGAAGGGAGCUUGCUCCUGGAUUCAGCGGCGGACGGGUGAGUAAUGCCUAGGAAUCUGCCUGGUAGUGGGGGAUAACGUCCGGAAACGGGCGCUAAUACCGCAUAAGUCCUGAGGGAGAAAGUGGGGGAUCUUCGGACCUUACGCUAUCAGAUGAGCCUAGGUCGGAUUAGCUAGUUGGUGGGGUAAAGGCCUACCAAGGCGACGAUCCGUAACUGGUCUGAGAGGAUGAUCAGUCACACUGGAACUGAGACACGGUCCAGACUCCUACGGGAGGCAGCAGUGGGGAAUAUUGGACAAUGGGCGCAAGCCUGAUCCAGCCAUGCCGCGUGUGUGAAGAAGGUCUUCGGAUUGUAAAGCACUUUAAGUUGGGAGGAAGGGCAGUAAGUUAAUACCUUGCUGUUUUGACGUUACUAACAGAAUAAGCACCGGCUAACUUCGUG
rnacentral:rRNA from 1 species